GUUCUUUGACCAAGUGUAAUGGAAAAUGAAGAAGUAGGCUCCACUACAGCUAUCGUGAUUGGAGACUCCACUACCAGAUUCAAUUGGGCUUACAGCUCUUCCUGUGUUUGUGCAUUGGUUGUGCACUGACACUUGGAAAGGGAUAAGUGAUUAAUCUGUGUGCCCUUUGGCCCAAAUUUGAAAUAUUACCCGAUGUAGUCUAAGUCUAGCUUUUCCCACGCUCACCAUGUUUGUCC
rnacentral:lncRNA from 1 species